UUUUUUUUUUUUUUUUUUUUUUUUUGGUCUUUUUGCUAUUUCUUGGGCCACUCCCAUGGCUUAUGGAGGUUCCAAGGCUAAGGGCAAAAAAGACAAAAAAAAAAAAAAAAAGUAAACUCUGCCAUUUAUAUCCUUGCAAUAUGCUUUGUCAGAAGAAUAGUAAUAAGAAUAACCUCAUUUUGCUAAGUGGUUUGUCUGUAGGAAUUGGAAUCAGAUGCAGCAGAUGAGCUGGAGAGACCAUGCAGCUUCAUCCCUCUUAAUCACUUUUUGUUUCUUACCUAUGCCAACCUCUCUGCAGCAUCCGACACCUAUAGGUACUCCCUCCCUCUUGAAAUGUUCGUUCCCCCAGUUGGCCUGACAGCACAAGAGCAGCUUGGUUUUCCUCCUGCUCUGUGAGUGACCGUUCUCUGUUCCUGCGUGUGGUCCAUUUCCACAUCUGCCUGUCUGUGAGAGGAUGACCUCCUUUAUUUCUCUGUUCUAGGUCCUCUUCUCUUUUUCAUUAAAUACUCUCCCUGCAGAGAGGGAUGGACCGGAAGUUUGGGAUCAAAGUUGCAAAUGGAUAAACAACAAGACACUGUUUCUAGCACAGGUAAAUAAAUAUAUUCAAUAUCCUGUGAUAAGCCAUAAUGGAAAAGAAUAUGAAAAAACAUAUAUAUGUAUAAUUGAAUUACUUUUCUGUACAGCAGAAAUUAACACAACACUGUAAAUCAACUAUACUUCCAUAAUUUUUUUUUUUAAAGAAGCAAAGGUGCCAUAUAAAUAACAGACAUUCAAAAAUGUUGACGUUCCAAAGAACCGGGACAAGGGCUGGUGCUCUGGGUGAGCACAACGAAUUCCUCAGGGAGAAUUCACCUGCAACCCGUCAGUCAUUCCUGCCCAGAGGCUGAACUGCAAGUAGGGUUGAAGCCCCAUGGUUCCAACAACAGAAAAGCAUGUUCUCAUCUUCCUCCCCUAACUCUGGCAACAUUAACAGCCUGUCUAGUCCUGACUUAACUGCUUGGGAGAUCUACCAAGGGCACGCCUCUAGCAGACUUGACCCCGUAACAUCAAAGCUGCUCUUUUGGCCUCAACUGGGCAAGGCUGCGGCUUCUACUUCUAUGGGAAGGAACACCAGAAUGUGGACACUUUGCAAGGAGUUCCAAAAACCUGCCUCUGUUUUCAGGCAUGCUUCACCCUGCUAGACUGUGCAGAGGAUUUGAUGGGCUCAGGUGAAAAGUCAGGCAGGAAGCUGAAAGCAUCCAGUGUAACAGGAAGAGAGAGGAGGUGGGGCGGAGGUGCCACUAGGAGAUGAAUGGCCAGUAUGAGUCAGGCUCUCUGGACUCCUCAGCAGACAUGCUCCAAGGGCCGAUCCAAAUGCUGAACCCGGCUUCCUCAACCCAGCUUUUAUCUGCUUCCCCAACAAAAAGCAAAACUCUGGGCCUUGACAGCCUAAUGCAGCGUGCAUCAGGUGUCCUAGAGAAACAUUCCUGCUGGCUGGAAAUGAGCAUGGCUUUUAAGAUAUCGCUAUCCCCAGCAUCAAUUUUGGCUUCCCAGCUCAUUUUCUUUCGACUUCAUACCCAGCACAUAAACAAUCAGGACAAAUGAUAUGGGGCACGAAACAUUCCGUCUCAGGCUUCUUUGCAUGUCCCCUUGUCUCUCUGUAAAUUGGAACCAUGGUGUAAAGAUCACAGCGUUAUCAAACACGCAGGAGAAGUGACGUUCAGCACAUCUCCAACACAAUCAUCCCACUAGACUUAAAUAAAUCAGCUUCAUUUUCAACCGCCACGGAAACCCCUGUGAAAGCACAAAAGCUUUCAGACAGGUUUUCAUGACACUCUAACUCAUCCUGUUUUCUUCCCCUAAUCAUUGUCGUAUUGAUCCCAAAAUAACGAUAAUCACUACAAUUCAGGCCCUACUUGUUUAAAAAUAAUUUUGACAAGCGUUCAGAUUAAAUUAGUCAUUGCAUUUUCAAUGGGAGAAAGCCCUUGCUAAACUAUUAAUACUCUAAGAAUGUAAACAGAAUGUUUAAUUUGGCUGAAAAAGCAAGUGGAUCCUUAAAGACCGUUUACACACCAAAAACGCACAUAUUAAGUUGAUGUGCUAUCUAGAAACAAUUUUUAUUUAUACAUGAAGUCAAAUAUACUUGGUUAACCUAAUUUAAAUCACUAUGUAAAGCUGGAGGAAAUUAUAAUGUUGCUUCUUUCAGAACCUUAAAACCGCGACAGGCUUUUCCUCCUAAUUAUGGCUAAUUAGUGAGGUUUUAUUGUAACAAUAAAUCACAGGGAAGCUUCCAGUUUCAUGGGUGGGUGAUGCCGAUUCUAAUCAAGAUUGCUGACCUAAUGCUUGAGGAAGGAUUGGCUGCUUCCAGAAGGACCCAUUAAUGACUUUGGAAAACAGAUGUGCCACUGAGUGAUGCUGGUCCAUGCCAAGGACAGAGUGUCCCCUCUUCCUCCAUCCUUUUAAAUAAAACCAAGGACAAACACUGACCCAGGAGCACUGGAUAAACAACCAAACAGCUUCCAGUAUCAUCAGAGUUUGAAAAAGCCUGCACAGCCAGCAUGCAAUACAAAUGGGAUGAACCUGUUUUCGUCUCUAACUCUGCUAACAUUUUGCUGGACCUGACAGUAAACAGAAGCCUUAAACAAAAAUGAGGAAGGAAGAGAAGGCCUUGGAAAUCUGGAUAUUUAAUUAGGGACCCUUUGGUUGUAAGCAAUAAAAACCCAUUGAAACCAGCUUAACAAAAAGACUUAAAGGAUGUGGAAACUUUGCAUAUCAGACAAAGAUGCACAGAAGGGCCACAUGAGUCUAGACUCAGUAACCUCAUCUGUCUCUGUCACUCUCAUCUGUCUCCUUUUUUUUUCUUUUUAUUCACUAUGCACUGGGUUAAAUGUGGAUGUGCCUGGAUGUUCCGGUUUAAGGACCAACAGAAACUUGCUAGAUUUAAUUCUAAAUUUUCAGAAGAGAUUACCUGUUAUAUCAGGGCUUCAUUUCCGUAGUGUCAUCUACGGUCUAGCACUAGAGAUGCAAAUAUUGCUGCAGACAUCGGAGCCAUGUCUGUGGGUGACAAGGAUGCAGAUGUGGGCUGUGCCACCAUCCCAAAAGUUAUCUAUGGCCAGAGUCAGGGGUGGCACUCUCCUUUGCAAAAGAUCACUCUGGGUGCAAGAAACUGUUCUAUCAUGAAACAGGUAAUUUCUUAUUCAAGAGCAGUCAUAGAUCUUUUACAGGAAGCAUGUUUCAGUAUUUCAAAUUUAUAGGAAUAACUAGACACUUUAUUUGUAAAUAAAUUGGCUUAUCUUAUUUCCUUUUAAUGACAAUACGAUACCACGAAGGGGUAAAUGGUGUUAUUCCUUUUAUUUUCUAAGGGAAAUGGAGGUGGUUAUCUUGCUUAUACACAGAGAAAAUGAGAAAGAGGUGGUCAUUUGAUAAACAGCAUAUCAGGAGAGCUUGCUGGUGGGCACAGGAAGUGCCUGUACCCAGCUCUGGUGCCAGAGUUGCCUCACGGACCUACGACGAAUUCAUAUGCCCUCCUGGCGGGUGAGGGUGACUGCUGCUCUCUCACUGCCCCCACACUGGGCCUCUACUCCAGACAUCACAGUUUCACAUCACAGAAUAUCUCCUCUUCUCUGCAUUUCAGCGUUCGUAUUCUUUACUCAUGUCUUGUUCAUAGUUGUCUUUUCCCACAAUCCUUGCAUACGUCUCUUUUCUUUUUGGCUGCACCUGUGGCAGGCAGAAUUUCCUGGGGGUCAGGGAUCGAACCUGUGCCACAGCAGUAACCUGAGCCAAAGCAGCUAUGAUGCCAGAUUCUUAACCCACUGAGCCUCCAGGGAAUGCCUCCCUGCACAUCAUGGGCAUUUGACAAAUCCCUUCAUGGGCAUUUGACAAAUCCCUUCAGCCCAUUGAUGGAGGGGGGUGGGGGUUGACAUAACUCCCCAGUGUGUUCCACAUGCAAGAGAACACCCAGAGCCAUGGCACUGAGCACACUCCCAUGGAAUAAGGAAGCUGUGCAAGGAAAUGUACAAACCGAUUGUCUACUGCGCUCCUGUACCCUCCAUGAGAAGACUGGAGUGCAGAGAGGGUCACUCGGCUAGUGAGAGGGAACCCUGAGAUCAAAACCCAGGAACUUGCCCACACAUUAGAAUUGCAAGCGAAUGUCCAACUGAAAAUUCUCACAUGGGACAAAAAUAGUUCAUUCUAAAGACAACCUACGGAAUGGGUGAAAGUAGUUUUAAAUGAUGCAACCGAAAAGGGCUUAAUCUCCAAAAUAUACAAACAACUCAGACAACUCAACAGCAGAAAAACAAACAACAGAAUUGAAAAGUGGGCAGAAGACCUGAAUUGGUAUUUCUCCAAAGAAGACAACAGAUGGCCAACAGGGACAUGAAAAAUGCUCAACAUCACUAAUUACUAGAGAAAUGCAAAUCAAAACCACAAUGACGUACCAUUUCGCAUGGGUCAGAAUGGCCAUCUUUAGUAAGUCUACAAAUAGCAAAUGCUGGAGUGGGUGUGGAGAAAAGGGAACCAACCCUUCUACACUGUUGGUGGGAAUGUAAAUUGGUAUAAACAUUAUGGAAAACAGUAUGGCGGUAUCUCAGAAAACUAAAUAUAGAACUACCCAUAUGACCUGGCAAUCCCACUCUUGGGCAAAUAGUCAAACAAAGCUUUCACUGAAAAAGAUACAUGCACCCCUAUGUUCAUUGCAGCACUAUUCACAACAGCCAGACAUGGAAACAACCUAAAUGUCCAUUGACGGAUGAAUGGAUUAAGAAGAUGUGGUACAUAUACACAAUGGAAUAUUACUCAGACAUAAGAAAGAACAACAUAAUGCCAUUUGCAGCAACAUGGAUGGAACUAGAAACUCUUAUACUAAGUAAGUCAGAAAGAUGAAUACCAUAUGAUAUCACUUAUAUCUAGAAUCUGAUAUAUGACACAAAUGAACUUAUCUACAGAAAUAAACAGACUCAUGGACAUGGGGAACAGACUUGUGGUUGCUGAGGGGGAGGACUGGGAGUUUUGGGUUAGUGGAUGCAAAUUAUUGCAUUUGGAGAGGAUAUGCAAUGAGAUCCUGCUGUGUAGCACAGGGAAACUGAAUCAAAUCACUUGUGAUAGAACAUGAUAGAGGAUGAUAUGAGAAAAAGAAUGUAUAAAUAUGUAUAACUGGGUCACUUUGCCAUUGACAGAACACUGUAAAUCAAGUAUAAUAAAAAAUUUUAAAAAGUGAAUGAACUUGGGAGUUCCUGUUGUGGCUCAGUGGGUUAAGAACCCAACUAGUAUCCAUGAGGAUGUGGGUUUGAUCCCUGGCCUUGUCCAGUGGAUUAAGGAUCUGGUAUUGCCAUGAGCCGUGUUAUUGGUUGCAGACACGGCUCAGAUACGGCUUGUGUGGCUGUGGUGUAGGCCAGGAGCUGCAGCUCCACUUGGACCCCUGGCCUGGGAACUUCCAUAUGCUGUGGUUGUGGCCCUAAAAGAAAGAAAAAGGUAAAGGGAAGGGACUUAGAUUGUGCUGGGGAGAAAUCCUAGAAAGUCACAGGUCAAGUUAAAGCUGCAUAGUGAGAACAUCCCUCUAGAGGUGGCCUGACUUCUCAGGGUCUCCCAAGCACCACUCCAUCUGGGCUUCCCCCCUGUAAUGGUGGCUAGUCCCCAAACCCCCAAGGCCCAGUUCAAAUUCUUGGGCCAAAUUUUCCCC
rnacentral:lncRNA from 1 species